rnacentral:tRNA from 1 species
GCGGCCGUGGCCCAAUUGGCAGAGGCGUGCGGUUUAGGUCCGCAUUGUUGUGAGUUCGAGUCUCACCGGCCGCACCA